GGGAUAUUCUAUGAUUCUAUUCUAUGAUUCUAUGAUUUGCAAAAGUCUCCUUGGUAACCUCUAAAGGGCACCUUAUGCAGUGAUAUCCCUGCCCCCUGCUCCCCUCCUUGAAGUCAGGAGCUGACAAUGUGUCAGCUGCAGCAAAAAUUAAUUCAAAUAAUCCCCAGGGUGAGAUUAAGGCACGUGGCGGACCCUUGGCCUCUACUUUGCGAACAGUCUGUGUCCAGGAGGACACUCUCGACACCACAGCCCGGAGCAGCAGUUUGCAGUACAGGAAGCAGGGCUGGCCUGGAUGAUUCUGCCCAGUAGCAUGUGACCAACUUUGCCUAAACUGCACGACUUUGAGGAUCCCAUUUUGCAUGUGCCCAGCAAGGACAUAUUGAAGGCUGAUAGUUUUCUCCCAGGAAGCCUGUGCCUGCCUGAGCAGUUGAAGCCAUGCCAGAGCCUCUGUGCUGACCAGGCAGGUCGUGUACCAUCCUCAGCGUAGACACUGUCCAAAUCGUCAAGGGCUGAGCAGCAGGACACUGCCCACUCUUGCUUCCUGACUCCAGAAAUGCAGGUAUACUGACUUCUAUUCUCACGUGCCUGCAGCAAGCAACAGAGAAGAGAAAGAAGGCGUCUCAGAGGUUCUAAUCCCGAAAGCAGACAGGAAGAGGGAUGGAAGCAAAGGCAGACUGGGGAAGGAGGGACAACUGGGCAGUGACAAGCUGAAGGGGAUGGGGCAGGCAGGUCUGCAAUUGCUGAAGGGCAUUGACUGCAGAGACCGGACUUGAAUUCAGUACUCAUGGCCCAGCAUAGUGAGACCAGUGAGACCACGGGCCAAGUGCUGAGGCAGAUAAACACAGAGCUGUGAUGCAACAAUCUCCAGACAUAAGGGAGAGAUCAGGCUUCCUCCUGAAACUCUAUUUCAGCGCCUGAUAACGUAACCAGCAAGGUCCUGAGAGCUGUCAGUUGCUGAGGGUGCAGUGAUACCAGGGGCAUUACGAAGUGCACUUGCAAUUAAUAUUUCUCAUGUAGCUGGUGUGUUGGGCAGUGUAUCUUGAGGGAUGUUAAAGGAACAUGCUAGAUACCUGCAACGUGGGGGAUGGAGCCUGAUAAAAUGGUAUAGAGUGGCUCCCUGCAGGGAAAGCAUGUUGGGAGGGAGAAAUGUGCAGGGAGAGUACUGAACAGUGGAGGUCUGAGCCUCAAGUGGAAGCCAUGGAAACUGCAUUUGCACUAGGCUGAAAAACUGUGGAAGGUUAUACAUAGGAUGCAGAAAGAGAGGAAGCCCCUGGAGGUCUA
rnacentral:lncRNA from 1 species